AACCCCUCGAGAGUGGCGAACGGGUGAGUAAUAUAUCGGAACGUGCCCAGUCGUGGGGGAUAACGUAGCGAAAGUUACGCUAAUACCGCAUACGAUCUACGGAUGAAAGCGGGGGACUCGCAAGAGCCUCGCGCGAUUGGAGCGGCCGAUAUCAGAUUAGGUAGUUGGUGGGGUAAAGGCUCACCAAGCCAACGAUCUGUAGCUGGUCUGAGAGGACGACCAGCCACACUGGAACUGAGACACGGUCCAGACUCCUACGGGAGGCAGCAGUGGGGAAUUUUGGACAAUGGACGCAAGUCUGAUCCAGCCAUUCCGCGUGCAGGAUGAGGGCCCUCGGGUUGUAAACUGCUUUUGUACGGAACGAAAAGGUCUCUAUUAAUACUAGGGGCUCAUGACGGUACCGUAAGAAUAAGCACCGGCUAACUACGUGCCAGCAGCCGCGGUAAUACGUAGGGUGCAAGCGUUAAUCGGAAUUACUGGGCGUAAAGCGUGCGCAGGCGGUUAUGUAAGACAGAGGUGAAAUCCCCGGGCUCAACCUGGGAACUGCCUUUGUGACUGCAUAGCUAGAGUACGGUAGAGGGGGAUGGAAUUCCGCGUGUAGCAGUGAAAUGCGUAGAUAUGCGGAGGAACACCGAUGGCGAAGGCAAUCCCCUGGACCUGUACUGACGCUCAUGCACGAAAGCGUGGGGAGCAAACGGGA
rnacentral:rRNA from 1 species